rnacentral:rRNA from 1 species
AGCUCCAAUAGCGUAUAUUAAAGUUGCUGCAGUUAAAAAGCUCGUAGUUGGAUCUCGGGUAUCGUCUCGGUGGUCCUGUUCACGCAGGCACUGCCUUGAUGACCUAACCAAUGGUUGAACGACUCCGAGUGCCCUUCACUGGGUGCUCGUGGGUGGCCAUUGCGUUUACUGUGAAAAAAUUAGAGUGUUCAAAGCAGGCUUCUAUAGCUCGAAUAGUCGUGCAUGGAAUAAUGGAAAAUGACACUGGUGCAUUUCCGUUGGUCUCUGUGACUGGUGUAAUGAUUAAGAGGGACUGCCGGGGGCAUUGGUAUGGCGGGGUUAGAGGUGAAAUUCUUGGAUCCUCGCCAGACCAACAAAAGCGAAAGCAUUUGCCAAGAAUGUCUUCA